CACUUCUGGUAAGAGAGGGAGCUUUUGUUUGCUAGUCCGCUUUAAACUUCCCCGCCCCAGUCAUUUUAACUCUUUUUCUUCUUGCUCUCCGCCCCGGAUGGAGCUGCAAUUUCCAACCUAAAGCAACUGCUUUAUACUUCCCCAAGAAAACUUCCGGCAUAUGGAGGCCACUGUUUAGGUAACAUAAAAGUGUCCUUUAAGGCAGAGGAGGUAACCUAACGCGCGGCUCUGUGGCGCAAUGGAUAGCGCAUUGGACUUCUAGCGUAGUGAAGUGAUUCAAAGGUUGUGGGUUCGAGUCCCACCAGAGUCACAGGUUUCUUUUGAGGAUGAAAACAAAUUUGCCAAAGAUCCCAAUACCCACUGGGGAAUUUGCAUUAAGUUGUGCUAUUAUAUAUCUUCCGAGUGAGCUGAUUCCAGACAUUUUGUGCAUUAUGGUGGUUUACGCUAAUGUCCGAUUAACGUGAAUAUCCUUAAACUCCCUAGCUCUCCAACCCCCCCCUGCGGGCAUUGCACUAAAAGUCCGCGGCUUCGCGGCAGUCAGGGCUGGAAAUGCUCCGGGGUUGGCAAUGGGGGUUCCUACGAACAGUUAAAAGGGGCAAAGCAAAGGAGUUUAAAUGAUGGAAGGGUCACAGUAUCAAUCACGCGCCGGAGAACCUAGCGCUGGGCAGGGAGCAUCCCUUUUUGGGACGAAGCUGGCAUUUUCCGAUAUGUUAGCAGCGAUGGGGUGAGCAAAGGACUGAAGGCAACCCGUUUCAACACUCUGGGGAUGGGGGACGCCGUCUGGGCUCAGGACGCAGGAUCUGCUGCUUCUGCUUUUGCACUUAAAAGAGUUGCAGAAGAGCAAUGUUCGAAUGUUCCCCAUAUUGAUUGUAUUUAUUAUCUUCUAUUCAGUGCUUGUUUCCUGGGGGGGGCGCAUUCCCCUAAACAUUUUGUGAAUCUUUGUACUUUUGUCCAUUUACUGUAUUUAUUUUUCCCGAUUAGAACUACUGAAAUGGCGAUUUUCUUGAGUCAAAAUGAGAGGACCCCUAAACAUUUUUAAAGGGGAGGGGAGCACUACUCAUCCCUGAGCUUUGGCCUUGCUAGCUAGGGGUGAUGGGAGUUGUAGUUCAACAACAUCUGGGGACCCACAGGUUGAGGAAAAACCCUACAAAUAGAACGCCAGGCCGGAGGGCAACUGACUGGCAGGAUCCCUACAGGUGUUUCUUUCUAGUCCUCCGCGCAGUCGUCGUCCGCCCACCGGAAGUGGUGCGUUGCAGCCGAAGCAGAGGGACCAGUUCCGCGGCUCGAGUGGCGCCUCUAAGUUGCCUGCGGUUAGAGACCCGUGGGGUCUGCGGUGUCCUGGCAAAGAGGGCGAGGAAACCCUUCCUAGGCAGCCCGUUCUCAGUUAAAACUUGGAGAGGUGGCGUAAAAAUCCUUGCCGCGUGUUGCUGGAGUGGCUUCUUGCGGCGUGUGAGCCCACGUGGCUCCCCGAUGGGUCGCAGACUGAAGCUGGAAGGCCGGUUUCUUAGCCCUGGUUGAAUCUCAGAGUCAAGGUCCCCUGGGCUUCCUUUUCUCUUGUUCUGCCAUGGAGUCCAGGCCAGGCCUGCCAUGGAGUCCAGGCAGGGAUGCUUUUUUACUUUGUCACGGCCAGAGGGCUUCCGCCCCGCUUUCUUUCUGAUCCUUUUACCCAGAGAUUUCCGGGACUGAACCUGGGAAUGAUCGCCUCCCCCUGGCGGGCUCGAGCACAGGAAAGCGGCUACCGGGGAUACAUGCGCAAGGAUUUCUUUUUCCUAGGAGGAAAGGCUUUUUUUCUUUCACUUGCAUUUGUUGCUGCCUCGGGUCGGGCGGGAAGACGGAAACUCCUCCAAGUCUCCCGGCAUCUGAUCCCACGGUCUGGAGGGCAGGAGGCAACAAAAGCGGCGAGAAAACUCAGGGAGGUCUCCUCGCGGCAAGAGGCGGAGAAAGUUCCCCCCGCUUCGCGCGAGGGAGCACCGGAAAGCUCUUUCCAAGUUUUCAUGGGGGGCGGGGGAGCUCAAAGUGAAACUUUCAGUUAGCUGCGUAUUAUAGGAAGAAAUGGAUCCAUACAUUUGAGCGGUGUGAACACACACGCACGCGCACACACAUCCAAAAAUAAAUAAAAAAUCGACAGGUGCAGGAAAUAGUCCCCCUUCUGUCUGCCUGACUUAGGUUAGCUGCUGCUUCUGGUUCACUAAGGCAUCAGAACUUCAGCAUUGGCUAAAAGCUGGUGAACUUUGUUAAAUAAAGACGCUUUCAUAGUAAGCCGUAUUUCGAACACUGAACUUAUUCACCUUAUUUUGAGGAGUGAUAAAAGUUAGCCACUGGGCCAUUCUGUAAACCAUGGCUAAGGCGUAGGACUUGAGAUCCAGUCGACACAUAAGCCUGCCUAGGCUCGAACCCCAAUUCUGGUGCACAGAUUUUGUUCCUCUUAUUAGUCCAUUUUAAAAACCCCAAUAGUCAUGUCGGUUCUUUUUUUUUUUCUUCUAGUACUCGCCACCCCAGGCUUGGCUGCAAUUCCAAACGCAAAGCAAGUGCUUUCUGCCUCCCCAUGUAAACGUUCUGGAUUGCCUUAAAAUAACCUGUAAGUCUCCUUUUAAGAGCCAGAGGGAAGAGCGUGCCCCGCGGCUCUGUGGCGCAAUGGAUAGCGCAUUGGACUUCUAGCGUGGCGCAGCGAUUCAAAGGUUGUGGGUUCGAGUCCCACCAGAGUCACUUUUGAGGACGUAAAACAAAUCCCGCACGGAUCCAUCCCAAUACCCCUUGGAGAACUUCCCGUCGCGUUCUGCUGUGUCUUCUGCUGAAAUAGAGCGAGUCGCCCUGAAGGGAAGAACUAAAUCCGGAGCUUUUCCUGCUUUUGCCAAUUCACUCGCUUUGCACAGGAAGUCGCCUGUCGGACACUUUUACGCGUGAUCUAAUGUUGUGGGGGUUUUUUUUGGGGGGGGGAGGUUCCCAGCUCACUUUGUUCUUUCCCUCCCCCUUCGAUCCUAUGAAAGGUACAGUGUGAUGAAACUGCAGCAGCGGUUCAUCUCUCCCGUAGUUUGGGCUGUGCGGCGGUUGCACAGGUUUGUUGUCAAGCCAGGCGUCCGCGGGCCGCAUCCUGUCAUCGGCGAACCUCGAACUCGGCGACAGAGGCGCCUUGCGGCUCCGCAGCCCCGCGCCCGAACCCCUCGGCUAUCCAGAACACUAGGCGCCCAGUCUGCUGGUAUGGGAGGUUUCAUAGGCUCAACAGCCUCGCCUGCAGUCUGGGCGGGAUUAUUUAGCGUGGGGGGGGAAAUAAAAUAGCAAGAGUCUAUGCUACUCCGGCGAAAAGCCGGAGAGUGUUCCUUUGGGCAGCUGAAAUGGUUUCUUUCUCCCCGUGCUACUACGCUGCGCUUACAAAAUAUAUUAAUUCUUCGUUCCAGGAAAAUGCUUACAGAGAUCGUCAUGUUUCGCUCACCCACACCCACAAAAUAAAUUUCUCAUUAACGUUGCAUGGCUGGAUUCUCACUGGCAGUGGAUAACGACUUAAAAUUACACAUCUCUGUGAUGUGCGAUGUUGUAGAUCCUUCGUGCAGGAUCCUUCGCACGUAUCUGAGGAACGCUCGUGGACUCCUCUUCCUGAAAUAGCACCGACUCCCUAAAGUCCCCUGAGAGAAUGUUGGAUCUUAUGGAAGCCAAUGGGAGCUGCUGCUGCUCUUCAAAUUGCUCGCCAACUCCCCACCCCGACCAAAUCAGUCACCGG
rnacentral:tRNA from 1 species